UACGAACUCUUCGCAGGUGAUGGUGUACCCAUGCCGAACACAGAAGUUAAGCCCUAGAACGCCGGAAGUAGUUGGGGGUUGCCCCCUGUGAGAUAGGGAAGUCGCUUAGCU
rnacentral:rRNA from 1 species